GAUGAACGCUAGCGGCAGGCCUAACACAUGCAAGUCGAGGGGCAGCAUAAAACAAGCUUGCUUGUUUGGUGGCGACCGGCGCACGGGUGCGUAACGCGUAUGCAACCUACCCUGUACUGGGGGAUAGCCCGGAGAAAUUCGGAUUAAGACCCCAUAGUAUAUAUCAUUCGCAUGUUUGGUAUAUUAAAGGUUACGGUACAGGAUGGGCACGCGUCCUAUUAGCUAGAUGGUGAGGUAACGGCUCACCAUGGCGACGAUGGGUAGGGGGCCUGAGAGGGUGGUCCCCCACACUGGUACUGAGACACGGACCAGACUCCUACGGGAGGCAGCAGUGAGGAACAUUGGUCAAUGGGCGCAAGCCUGAACCAGCCAUGCCGCGUGCAGGAAGAAGGUCCUAUGGAUUGUAAACUGCUUUUAUUUGGGAAUAAACCUCUUUACGUGUAGAGAGCUGAAGGUACCAAAUGAAUAAGCACCGGCUAACUCCGUGCCAGCCGCCGCGGUAAGAC
rnacentral:rRNA from 1 species